UACAGAGGUCUCAAGCGUUGUUCGGAUUCAUUGGGCGUAAAGGUGUGUAGGUGGCGCGCUAAGUCGGGUGUGAAAUUUCGGAGCUUAACUCCGAAACUGCAUUCGAUACUGGCGUGCUUGAGGACUGGAGAGGAGACUGGAAUUCAUGGUGUAGCAGUGAAAUGCGUAGAGAUCAUGAGGAAGACCAGUGGCGAAGGCGGGUCUCUGGACAGUUCCUGACACUGAGACACGAAGGCCAGGGGAGCAAACGGG
rnacentral:rRNA from 1 species